rnacentral:rRNA from 1 species
UACGAAGGGGGCUAGCGUUGUUCGGAAUCACUGGGCGUAAAGGGCGCGUAGGCGGCCGAUCAAGUCGGGGGUGAAAGCCUGUGGCUCAACCACAGAAUUGCCUUCGAUACUGUUUGGCUAGAGACCGGAAGAGGUUAGUGGAACUGCGAGUGUAGAGGUGAAAUUCGUAGAUAUUCGCAAGAACACCAGUGGCGAAGGCGGCUAACUGGUCCGGUUCUGACGCUGAGGCGCGAAAGCGUGGGGAGCAAACAGG